CAGCAGCCGCGGUAAUACGAAGGGGGCUAGCGUUGCUCGGAAUCACUGGGCGUAAAGGGCGCGUAGGCGGCGGCCGCAGUCGGGCGUGAAAUCCCCGGGCUCAACCCGGGGGCUGCGCCCGAGACGCGGCGGCUGGAGGACGGGAGAGGCUCGCGGAAUUCCCAGUGUAGAGGUGAAAUUCGUAGAUAUUGGGAAGAACACCGGUGGCGAAGGCGGCGAGCUGGCCCGUACCUGACGCUGAGGCGCGACAGCGUGGGGAGCAAACAGGAUUAGAUACCCUGGUAGUCCACGCCGUAAACGAUGUGCGCUGGGUGUUGGGGCCCCUAGGGCCUCAGUGCCGCAGCCAACGCGGUAAGUGCACCGCCUGGGGAGUACGGCCGCAAGGUUGAAACUCAAAUGAAUUGACGG
rnacentral:rRNA from 1 species